rnacentral:rRNA from 1 species
UACGAAGGGUGCAAACGUUGCUCGGAAUUAUUGGGCGUAAAGGGUGCGUAGGCGGCGCGGCACGUCGGGUGUGAAAUCUCGGAGCUUAACUCCGAAACUGCAUUCGAUACUGCCGUGCUUGAGGACUGGAGAGGAGACUGGAAUUUACGGUGUAGCAGUGAAAUGCGUAGAGAUCGUAAGGAAGACCAGUGGCGAAGGCGGGUCUCUGGACAGUUCCUGACACUGAGGCACGAAGGCCAGGGGAGCAAACGGG